GGUUGUGGCUCAGUGGUAGAGCGCUUGCCUAGCAAGUGCAAGGCUCUGGGUUCGAUCCUCAGCACCA
rnacentral:tRNA from 1 species